rnacentral:rRNA from 1 species
UACGGAGGGUGCAAGCGUUAUCCGGAUUCACUGGGUUUAAAGGGAGCGUAGGUGGCUUUGUAAGUCAGUGGUGAAAUCUUAGAGCUCAACUCUAAAACUGCCAUUGAUACUGCUUAGCUUGAAUCACGUCGAGGUGGAUGGAAUAUUACAUGUAGCGGUGAAAUGCUUAGAUAUGUAAUAGAACACCGAUUGCGAAGGCAGUUCACUAGGCGUGUAUUGACACUGAGGCUCGAAAAGCGUGGGGGAUCAAACAGG